AGAGAAUAGUAUAGUGGAGGUACGCGGGGUUUUGAGCCCCUUAGUACAGGUUCGAGUCCUGUUUUUCUA
rnacentral:tRNA from 1 species